AUGUUCCUGAAAUGUUCGGUUGUACCUUUUAUUUUGAACCUACGGUAGACAUACGGGAGCCCGAUUGUUUUUAUUUGUAGCACAGGCCUCAAGAUAAUACCGACACCGGCUAAUAUCCCGGUGCAACGGCAGAGGAAGUGUGAAUAAUAAAGCAGGGCACCCACCUGGCUUUUGGCUAGGUGUCAAAAUAUAGGGAAACGGCAUUUUGGGACAUGA
rnacentral:other from 1 species